GGUGGAUCCAUUUAGGCAAAUCGUAUAACGGCAUAUUAAUCAAAUUUACGAUAUCUGGUGUCGUAGCUGUUGUUUUUACUUUCGUUUCGAUAUAUUUGCAGAGGGAUUCUCCGCACUCGUGAAUUUGGAAAAUAAAAGCUCCGUGAGAGUGGCUCAAUUUUUUCCCCGUCGAACGUGGAGACCUUUCUGUAAUCCUGAAGGUCGGAGUCGAUGGCGAAGCGGAGAACGGAUGCCAAAAGACGAUCAAACGACGAGGAUGAGAAUUUACACUUGGACGAUUUUAAAAACGCAGAGAUCCAGAUUUUACGAGGUGGGAUCGAUCGUGAAAGGAGAAAGAGAUAAAAAGAAAAGGAGCGUCCCAAUUUUAAACCCAAGGAUUGAUUAUAAACGAGAAAGAUG
rnacentral:misc_RNA from 1 species